rnacentral:rRNA from 1 species
AACUAACAAGGAUUCCCCUAGUAACGGCGAGUGAACCGGGAAGAGCUCAAAUUUGAAAUCUGGCGUCCUCAGGGCGUCCGAGUUGUAAUCUAUAGAGGCGUUUUCCGUGCCGGACCGUGUCCAAGUUCCUUGGAACAGGAUAUCAAAGAGGGUGACAAUCCCGUACUUGACACGACGACCGGUGCUCUGUGAUACGUCUUCUACGAGUCGAGUUGUUUGGGAAUGCAGCUCAAAAUGGGUGGUGAGUUCCAUCUAAAGCUAAAUAUUGGCGAGAGACCGAUAGCGAACAAGUACCGUGAGGGAAAGAUGAAAAGCACUUUGGAAAGAGAGUUAAACAGUACGUGAAAUUGUUGAAAGGGAAACGAUUGAAGUCAGUCGUGACCGAGAGGCUCAGCCGGUUCUGCCGGUGUAUUCCCCUCGGUCGGGUCAACAUCAGUUUUGUCCGGUGGAUAAGGGCGGUAGGAAGGUGGCACCCUCGGGUGUGUUAUAGCCUGCCGUCGCAUACAUCGGGUGA